UCAAACCACAACAGAGGUUUUAGGCAGAAUC
rnacentral:piRNA from 1 species